GGACAAAAUUAGAUGCUUUUUUGCAGGCGGUGUGCUUGUGGUGAAUCUGUGUGCGUACUUGUUUUUUUGUUUUCCAGGCAGUGCACUGACUUCUGACGUGCAGUCCAACGUGAUGGGGACCCUGCCUGAGAUGUAGACAGCCUGACAGGGCCGAAGCCAACUCACAAUGAGGAGAUGGACACGGUGCCAUCCGGGUAACCUUUGGGAGCAGAUGAGCAUUGGAGGUAUCCCAGAAGAUGACAGCACAUUGUCCAAGUCUGGUCAGAGCCAGUGACAUGAGGACCUGCCUCAGUGCCAUUGACUCCGAGUACUCUCAGGAUGACAGGAACCUCUGAGCCAACCCAGGUGCCCCUCCUCUGCAUCAAAGAUGGAUUCACAUCCCCGGCUCUCGGAAAGAUAAGUGCAGGGCAAAGACCCAGAGAGGGGUUGGGAGUCGGGGCAAGUAUGUGCAUCGCCUGGAGGGAUUUUUGCAAUUAGUAUGGUGCAAUGGGUGUCCUGUAGCAGGUUAUUUAGAGACCUCAAAGGAAGGGCUUACUUUGUAUCAUUGGAUUCCCGUGUGCAGGGCAGAGCAGUUCCGGUCUGUGUCACGUCCUUUGUCUCCUCCAUGUUUGUGUCCUUCGUCUCUUAAUUGUGUCACAUGGUGUGUGUCAUCACAGGUAUGGGGUGUCUCACUUGGGGUCAGCCUGGAACUGCUCUGCCCUGCUACGUGGAUCAGUGGGUAGAUAGAAUAUUGCUCAGUCUCACAUCAACAUGUCAGUUCCCUCAGACAGUCGAACCGAUGGCUGUACGGUCCUGCCGGAUGGAGCAGGUGUCCAUAACUCGUGUGCAAUCAUUAUAGCUGAGUGUUGUGGAGCUGAUGGUACUUGGAUAGCAGGGCCUUGAAGCUGGGUUGUCAUUUGUAUUCUUGUAUGCUGUGGUCAGAGUUCUCACUCGCUCAGUGGAAAUGAGUUCUUUGAAGUGGUUAAGGUCUCAGAGACCAUGUGGGUGACCUGACUA